AUAUGAUAGCUCUCAUCAAGUAUCUAGUAUGUAUGUGUGUGUGUGUGUGUGUGUGAAUGUAUUAAUGUGUGUGUGUGUGAAUGUAUUAAUGUGUGGGUGUGCAUACAACUGCAUGUGUAUUUAUGUACAUAUCUAUGCAUACAUAUAUGUAUCAACAUCUAAAUUUAGCUAAAGGGUAACUCUGUUCAGUUCAUCCAUGAAAGCGAGUUGAGUACUUACCAAAACAUCUAGAUGUCUCACAAGGUAAAACAUGCUUUCAUCCUUCUGAUGUCUAAUGAUGCAUAUUCAUAUGUAUGAGUUUGCUUUCAAAUGUAAUUCUGGAGAAUGAAAGAGGUGAAUUUACAUUUUCUCUUGGCUUGCUGAUUUUGCCCCAGAUAAUGGAAUUCAAUCUGUUAUAUUUGAAAUACUUGUUUAUUAUUCAAUUUUUCUGUGUUUCUCUUGAAGAAAUUGACAUUGUAAAAUUUGUCAGGAAAAAGCAACCAACAGCUCUUGAAUGUCUUGAACUAAAAAACAUUGAAUACUGGCAAAUCAGAUCACUGAAAAUGAGUAGUCCUGGCUGGUCACCUCUUAAAACUAAUGAAUUUGAAGCAAAUGUGCUUUCUGGGGAAGCCAACAUUUUAAGUGUCACUCUUCUUUCAAAUAGUGAUUUAACAUUAAUUUGUCAGGGCACUGACAAAGGGAUAAAAUUUCAGGCAAUACCACUAUAUAAUGACAUUGGGAAUCUUUACCCAAGUUCGGAAACACCAAAUGCGAUAAAAGAUAAAAAAUUCACAUUGAAAUGUAAAACAAUGGGUACUGGUACUACAGUAAUUUGGUAUACUGGAAAUGGAACAGUUAUUGCUAAAUACAUUGGAAUAUUGAACCAAAAUAUUGUUAAAUAUUUUGGUAGCCGUCAAGAAACUAGUUGCCAAAGCAAUAGUUGCACAUUGAGUAUAACCAAUGUCAGUUUAGAUGAAGACAACAUGGACAUUAUUUGCAAAAGCGGUUUACAUACAAGCAUGUACAGUAUUACAGUAUUUGUUUUACCCAAAUCAGUCACAAUCAAGGCUAUUUCUGACACAGUUCCUGUGGAAAAUCAGAUCAAAAGUUAUGAAUGCCUUAUUAAAGAUGCCAAACCUGAAUUUUCAGUUUUCUGGCUGAUUACAAGGAAAAAUGGAACACAAGAAAAUGCUACAAAGAAUAUUUCAAACAACUCAAGCAAAUCAGGAGACCUGAUCACUUUAUCAUCAAAAUUGACAUUAACUCUUCAUAAGAGGUUUAAAGAAUUACAGUGUGUUGCAUAUUUUCUGGAUAAAACUGGAAUUGUUACUUAUUCAAAGAAACUAGACAUGCUCAUAGAAUAUUCUCCAGAAAAAGAUACCAUGACAUUAAAUGUUUUUGGAGGAAAAGUAUGUGCUGAUACUCCAACCAAAUUCCAGUGCAGUUGGAAAGGUGGUCAUCCACCAGCAAAUGUAACCCUGAUGUAUAAAAAUGUAUCAAAUACUAGUAAAGAAGAAGUUGAACUUAACGUAAUACCUUCCAAAUUUCAUCAAACAGUCAAGUGUCUGGGCAUUCAUAUUGCUGCAAAUGUGUCUCGUGAAAAGAAUUUUACUAUUUAUUAUCCUCCUCAAGUAAACAUUCAUAUUUCAAAUGAGACAAAUAAUACUUUACAAAUUAAUUGCACUGCAUUUGGUGGAAACCCAGAGAUUUAUGAAUACAAACUGGAGCAAAAAUGGGGAAAUGCCACUAAGAAUACUUAUAAUAUGAAUGUAUUAUCUAUAAACAAUCCUUCCUUCAGUAAUACUGGUACAUGGGAGUGUCAUGUAAGCAAUGAAGAUUUUCAUGUGAAUAAAUCAUCAAACUACAAAUUUCCAAUGAAACCUAUUUUCAGUUCAAUAUCAAACAAUCCCAAAAAGAGAAAUGUUGCAAUUGGAGAAUCUGUAAUUUUCAAACAGUGUUUUUAUUCCCAUCCAAAAUCUGAUGUAAAAUGGCAAAAGAAUGAGAAUUUAAUUGACUCCAACAAAUAUUUAACAACUGAUUAUUUAUCGAGUGAGUUUCCUUUCAAAGGAAGCUGCACUAGUGUAAAAAUAGAAGACAUUAAAGAUAAUGAUUUUGGUACUUAUACCUUAACAGUGGAAAAUACCAUAGGGAAAAAAGUGAUUAUUUUUGCCAUGAGACUUAAAGAAAUUGUGGAAGUCCCUUUGAGAAUAAUUAUUGGUUGCACUGUAGGAAUUGUAUUAUUAAUAAUUUUGGGGCUUCUUGCUUAUAAAUGCCACAAAAAAAGAGGUGUAAAACACAAUAAAAAAGACACGGUUGGCACGAACCCCCUGGAGGAUGCUCAUAUGGUCUCUAUUUAUGGAAUCAAUGCAAGUUUGACAGGAGAUGUGGAAGAUGUUUAUGCAACUAUUUCAUCUGAACCAAGCACUGUGGAAGAUCAGGAUGCUGAAAUUAGUGAUCCCAGAUAUUUAUGUAUGAGACACCUAACUGUAGAAGAGCAAUACGCUGAAAUUAGUGAGCCCAAAUAUUUAGAAAUGAAGCAACAAAACAUGGAUGGUGCUUAUGUUAACAUUUCAAAGAAACCUGGAGAUGUGGAAGGCACUUACAUUAACGUUUCAAAGAAACCUGGUGGUAAAAUCAGCCAGAACUUUUGGGAUGACCUGAUAUAUGUAUGAUUGAAAUUCAAACUUUGAAAAUUUUAAUGUUGCUAACAUUCAUAUUUUUUGAGUAAGAGAACUCUUUUGAAUACACUGGCCUGUCUUGUCUAUUACCAGUGAUGGUCUGUGUCAGUCUCAUUGUCAUCAUUUCAUGGACUCUUCUUGCAAGGUCUACAGAUUUGGACUAAAUAUCUGAUACUACCAUAACGUUAUUGAUCUCUGUCUUAUUUUUGUAUUUAAUGCAUUGACAAAUUCUCAAUUUAUUUUCAAUCUUUAUAAAUGUCUAUAAGUAAACAUUUGCAUCAAUAAAGUAAACCCAGUUAAAUUUCUGUAUUUCUUUCCUUUUAU